rnacentral:rRNA from 1 species
UACGUAGGUGACAAGCGUUGUCCGGAUUUACUGGGCGUAAAGAGCGCGCAGGCGGUCGUUCAAGUCGAGUGUGAAAGCCCUCGGCUCAACUGGGGAGGGUCACUCGAUACUGAUCGACUCGAAGGCAGGAGAGGGAAGUGGAAUUCCCGGUGUAGUGGUGAAAUGCGUAGAUAUCGGAAGGAACAUCAGUGGCGAAAGCGACUUCCUGGACCAAUACUGACGCUCAUGUGCGAAAGCGUGGGGAGCAAACAGG